CCUACGGGUGGCAGCAGUGGGGAAUAUUGGGCAAUGGGCGCAAGCCUGACCCAGCAAUGCCGCGUGAGGGAAGAAGGCUCUCGGGUUGUAAACUUCUUUGACAGGGGAAGAGCAGAAGACGGUACCCUGAAAACAAGCCACGGCUAACUACGUGCCAGCAGCCGCGGUCAUACGGAGGUGCCAAGCGUUAACCGGAUUUACUGGGUGUAAAGGGCGUGGUGGCGGGGAAGCAAGUCAGAUGUGAAAACCACGGGCUCAACCUGUUGCCUGCAGUUGAAACUGGUUUUCUUGAGUGCUGGAGAGGCAAUCGGAAUUCGGGGUGUAGCGGUGAAAUGCGUAGAUAUACGGAGGAACACCAGUGGCGAAGGCAGAUUGCUGGACAGUAACUGACGCUGAGGCGCGAAAGCGUGGGGAGCAAACAGGAUUAGAUACCCGAGUAGUC
rnacentral:rRNA from 1 species